CCCGCCUCCCGCCCGCUCCCGGCUGCGCUGCGGCUGCGGUCCUGGCAGCCGAGGCCCCGCGGCGCUGCAGCUCAGAUCCGGCGCUGACCGACCCGCGCCCUGCCCCGCCGCCCGCACCCCCUGGUCCACGCGGGUCCCCCGGCCUGGGGCCCGCCGCAGCCCGGCCCCUCCGCGUGAGCCCCGCCCCCCUCCGGCCGCCGGUUGCCGCAACUUCGGGGGCGGGUGCGUGAAGGUGCCGCUCGCCCCCCGCACCCGCGCGAGUCCUGGGCCCGGCCCCGCACGCCCCCGGCCCUGGCGGAACUUGCCGGAGCAUCGUCGCAGCCAGGCCGCCCGCUCCUCCCCCGGCGGGGCGGGAGCGAGUCCCCGGGGCCGUCCGCGUGCAGCCCCCACUGGCCGCCGCGCACCUGCUACGCUGCGGGCGCACCCGCGGGCGCCGAAGCCUUCGGUUGAUGUUCCUUACCUGUCCAUGGGGAGCUGCAUCUCUUCCAAUGAUCGCCUGCCUCAUCUGUGGUGUCUGGGCCAGAAGCUAGCUGUCUCUGUGGGGGGUGAGGGGCUGUCUGUGGCGGUGGUGAGCCACCAUGUAUGUGUGUGUGUGUGGGGGGGGGCACUGUCUUUGUGGAGCUGAAGUGUGUCUCUGUAGAGAUGUGUGUAUCUCUUUGUGGCCAAGGUUUCCUGUGGAGGGGGAGGCAGGUAAUUGCCUGUUCAUUUUUGGAAAAGUGAAGUAAUAGCCAGGCUCAGCAAUGUAAACUAACAGUGAUAUAGAUUGUGUCCUUUCUCCUUCCUCCCUGCCCAGAGGGGCAGAAGGAGAGCUCAUCUGUGGUCUUGGCCUUCUGAGAAACCAAUUGAUGCAGACUGAAAUGCCUCGGAGAGGAAUGAGCAUCCUCCGUUCUUGGUUCAUACUGUGUCUGCAUAGCCUUUUGUCCCAAAGGCAAGUUAAAGAGGGGCGACUGGUUAGAACUUGGUGAAUUUGUUUUAAUAUCAUAUUAAGCUAUGGCAUAAUCACAGAAGAGGGGACAGAUCUGGGGACUAUGGAUUUUCACAAACUGAACACACCUGUGUAACCAGUGCCCAGAUUAAGAUCUAGAGUGUUACCAGGUUCCCUAUGUCCUCUGUGGGUACUGUCCCCCAAGGGUAACCAUCAUCCUGCUUAGUUUUGUCAGGCAAGUUUUGUCUUUAUUCCUAUUAUUAUUUAUUUCACCAGUUUUGUUUCAAAGCUAAGAUGAAACUGCUUGAUGAUUUUCUACCUCUUUUUUUAAUAUAUGCAAACCAAAGGUAGUUAUAUGUAAGCCAGUCCAGAAAUCUAGAAGGGAGAAUUUGGUCUUAAGACCUGGGUGGAAUCUAAACUGGUUGUCUCCUCCCCAUCUCCCCAGGAUGUUCUUGGGCAGUGAAACAAGCCAGACCCCAGACACAAUAGGGCUGAUACUGAUAAAUUGAAGCCAGUUUAUUCAUAAAGUGUAUUUGAAAAAUGCAAAUCUGAAAUAGUGUCGUGAUAAAAUGUAAAUUAAAAAAUAUGCAUGAAUUAUCAUUUGAAACAUAAAAAUGGGAAUAUUUUCAAUCUCUCAAAAUUAAAAAUUGGUAGAGGAUGCCAGAAUGUCAAGGCUGAAUGAGUUAUAAACUCUUUGUGCUGUUGCCACAAGGUGGCGCCACCUUGGCUAGACACCCGCAAUACCUGGCAUUCUUUCCCAAGCCCCCAGGAAGGACUCCCAGGAAUAAAAUCCAGCAGCUCGGUAUCUCCA
rnacentral:lncRNA from 1 species